CAGUCGCCACGGUAAUACGAGGGGGGGCAAACGUUGUUCGGAUUUAUUGGGCGUAAAGGGUGCGUAGGCGGUUUGGCAAGUCUUGUGUGAAAUCUAUGGGCUCAACCCAUAGUCUGCACAGGAAACUGUCGGGCUUGAGUAUGGGAGAGGUGAGUGGAAUUCCGAGUGUAGAGGUGAAAUUCGUAGAUAUUCGGAAGAACACCAGUGGCGAAGGCGGCUCACUGGACGACUGUUGACGCUGAGGUGCGAAAGCGUGGGGAGCAAACAGGAUUAGAUACCCCGGUAGUCCCUGUCUCUUAUA
rnacentral:rRNA from 1 species